GGCGACGAUCAGUAGCUGGUCUGAGAGGACGACCAGCCACACUGGGACUGAGACACGGCCCAGACUCCUACGGGAGGCAGCAGUGGGGAAUUUUGGACAAUGGGCGAAAGCCUGAUCCAGCAAUGCCGCGUGUGUGAAGAAGGCCUUCGGGUUGUAAAGCACUUUUGUCCGGAAAGAAAUCCUUGGUUCUAAUAUAGCCGGGGGAUGACGGUACCGGAAGAAUAAGCACCGGCUAACUACGUGCCAGCAGCCGCGGUAAUACGUAGGGUGCGAGCGUUAAUCGGAAUUACUGGGCGUAAAGCGUGCGCAGGCGGUUUGCUAAGACCGAUGUGAAAUCCCCGGGCUCAACCUGGGAACUGCAUUGGUGACUGGCAGGCUAGAGUAUGGCAGAGGGGGGUAGAAUUCCACGUGUAGCAGUGAAAUGCGUAGAGAUGUGGAGGAAUACCGAUGGCGAAGGCAGCCCCCUGGGCCAAUACUGACGCUCAUGCACGAAAGCGUG
rnacentral:rRNA from 1 species